rnacentral:rRNA from 1 species
GAAUCAAAGAAGGUAAUAAUCCUGUAGUCGAAAAUGUUGUCUCUCUUGAGUGGAUCCUGAGUACGACGGAGCACGUGAAAUUCCGUCGGAAUCUGGGAGGACCAUCUCCUAAGGCUAAAUACUCUCUAGUGACCGAUAGUGAACCAGUACCGUGAGGGAAAGGUGAAAAGCACCCCGGAAGGGGAGUGAAAUAGAACCUGAAACCGUGUGCUUACAAGUAGUCAGAGCCCGUUAAUGGGUGAUGGCGUGCCUUUUGUAGAAUGAACCGGCGAGUUACGAUUUGAUGCAAGGUUAAGCAGUAAAUGUGGAGCCGUAGCGAAAGCGAGUCUGAAUAGGGCGUUUAGUAUUUGGUCGUAGACCCGAAACCAGGUGAUCUACCCUUGGUCAGGUUGAAGUUCAGGUAACACUGAAUGGAGGACCGAACCGACUUACGUUGAAAAGUGAGCGGAUGAACUGAGGGUAGCGGAGAAAUUCCAAUCGAACCUGGAGAUAGCUGGUUCUCUCCGAAAUAGCUUUAGGGCUAGCCUCAAGUGAUGAUUAUUGGAGGUAGAGCACUGUUUGGACGAGGGGCCCCUCUCGGGUUACCGAAUUCAGACAAACUCCGAAUGCCAAUUAAUUUAACUUGGGAGUCAGAACAUGGGUGAUAAGGUCCGUGUUCGAAAGGGAAACAGCCCAGACCACCAGCUAAGGUCCCAAAAUAUAUGUUAAGUGGAAAAGGAUGUGGCGUUGCCCAGACAACUAGGAUGUUGGCUUAGAAGCAGCCAUCAUUUAAAGAGUGCGUAAUAGCUCACUAGUCGAGUGACACUGCGCCGAAAAUGUACCGGGGCUAAACAUGUUACCGAAGCUGUGGAUUGUCCUUUGGACAAUGGUAGGAGAGCGUUCUAAGGGCGUUGAAGCAUGAUCGUAAGGACAUGUGGAGCGCUUAGAAGUGAGAAUGCCGGUGUGAGUAGCGAAAGACGGGUGAGAAUCCCGUCCACCGAUUGACUAAGGUUUCCAGAGGAAGGCUCGUCCGCUCUGGGUUAGUCGGGUCCUAAGCUGAGGCCGACAGGCGUAGGCGAUGGAUAACAGGUUGAUAUUCCUGUACCACCUAUAAUCGUUUUAAUCGAUGGGGGGACGCAGUAGGAUAGGCGAAGCGUGCGAUUGGAUUGCACGUCUAAGCAGUAAGGCUGGGUAUUAGGCAAAUCCGGUACUCGUUAAGGCUGAGCUGUGAUGGGGAGAAGACAUUGUGUCUUCGAGUCGUUGAUUUCACACUGCCGAGAAAAGCCUCUAGAUAGAAAAUAGGUGCCCGUACCGCAAACCGACACAGGUAGUCAAGAUGAGAAUUCUAAGGUGAGCGAGCGAACUCUCGUUAAGGAACUCGGCAAAAUGACCCCGUAACUUCGGGAGAAGGGGUGCUCUUUAGGGUUAACGCCCAGAAGAGCCGCAGUGAAUAGGCCCAAGCGACUGUUUAUCAAAAACACAGGUCUCUGCUAAACCGUAAGGUGAUGUAUAGGGGCUGACGCCUGCCCGGUGCUGGAAGGUUAAGAGGAGUGGUUAGCUUCUGCGAAGCUACGAAUCGAAGCCCCAGUAAACGGCGGCCGUAACUAUAACGGUCCUAAGGUAGCGAAAUUCCUUGUCGGGUAAGUUCCGACCCGCACGAAAGGCGUAACGAUUUGGGCACUGUCUCAACGAGAGACUCGGUGAAAUCAUAGUACCUGUGAAGAUGCAGGUUACCCGCGACAGGACGGAAAGACCCCGUGGAGCUUUACUGUAGCCUGAUAUUGAAAUUCGGCACAGCUUGUACAGGAUAGGUAGGAGCCUUUGAAACGUGAGCGCUAGCUUACGUGGAGGCGCUGGUGGGAUACUACCCUAGCUGUGUUGGCUUUCUAACCCGCACCACUUAUCGUGGUGGGAGACAGUGUCAGGCGGGCAGUUUGACUGGGGCGGUCGCCUCCUAAAAGGUAACGGAGGCGCUCAAAGGUUCCCUCAGAAUGGUUGGAAAUCAUUCAUAGAGUGUAAAGGCAUAAGGGAGCUUGACUGCGAGACCUACAAGUCGAGCAGGGUCGAAAGACGGACUUAGUGAUCCGGUGGUUCCGCAUGGAAGGGCCAUCGCUCAACGGAUAAAAGCUACCCCGGGGAUAACAGGCUUAUCUCCCCCAAGAGUUCACAUCGACGGGGAGGUUUGGCACCUCGAUGUCGGCUCAUCGCAUCCUGGGGCUGUAGUCGGUCCCAAGGGUUGGGCUGUUCGCCCAUUAAAGCGGUACGCGAGCUGGGUUCAGAACGUCGUGAGACAGUUCGGUCCCUAUCCGUCGUGGGCGUAGGAAAUUUGAGAGGAGCUGUCCUUAGUACGAGAGGACCGGGAUGGACAUACCUCUGGUGUACCAGUUGUCGUGCCAACGGCAUAGCUGGGUAGCUAUGUGUGGACGGGAUAAGUGCUGAAAGCAUCUAAGCAUGAAGCCCCCCUCAAGAUGAGAUUUCCCAACUUCGGUUAUAAGAUCCCUCAAAGAUGAUGAGGUUAAUAGGUUCGAGGUGGAAGCAUGGUGACAUGUGGAGCUGACGAAUACUAAUCGAUCGAAGACUUAAUCAA